GUGGGGAAUAUUGGACAAUGGGCGAAAGCCUGAUCCAGCCAUGCCGCGUGUGCGAAGAAGGUCUUCGGAUUGUAAAGCACUUUAAGUUGGGAGGAAGGGUAGUAACCUAAUACGUUGCUACUUUGACGUUACCGACAGAAUAAGCACCGGCUAACUUCGUGCCAGCAGCCGCGGUAAUACGAAGGGUGCAAGCGUUAAUCGGAAUUACUGGGCGUAAAGCGCGCGUAGGUGGUUCAGUAAGUUGGAAGUGAAAUCCCCGGGCUCAACCUGGGAACUGCUUUCAAAACUGCUGAGCUAGAGUACGGUAGAGGGUGGUGGAAUUUCCUGUGUAGCGGUGAAAUGCGUAGAUAUGAUACAGAACACCGAUAGCGAAGGCAGCUUGCUGAACCAUUAUUGACGCUGAGGCACGAAAGCGUGGGGAGCGAACAGGAUUAGAUACCCGUGUAGUCC
rnacentral:rRNA from 1 species